rnacentral:misc_RNA from 1 species
CAACCGUCAAGCUCUGCUUGGUAUUGGGCCUCUGUCCCCACGCGGGCGGGCCUCAAAGUCAUCAGCGGCUGAGAGAACGGCGUUCUAGCGUAGUAGAAAUUAACUCGCCAGGGACCGGCCUCAGGCAGCUGUCAAACCCGCGCCUUUGCACACAUCUUA